UUACGAGCGUCAUCUCUCGCCAGAUCUAUGACGUAAAAUCAGUCUUUUUGUCGAUGUCGUCAAGAAUUAUUUCGAAAACGCAAUUAACUUACAGCACGCGCGUACUCUUUCCUUUAUAGUAAAGCGCAUAAUGCAAAUAUACUCGCAAAAUUUUAUUUUCGAGCACGUAUCAUGUACGAUCAAUUAAUUAUUAAUACUUUUGUCGCUUUUCCAAUUUUUCAUAGGAAAUAAUAUACGUAAGUAAUACAUAGAGAACAUAAAACAUUUCGAUCUAUGUAUUGAUCGGCUAAACUUUACCUUCAAGAAUCUUCUAUUCCAAUUCGACGGGUUAUGGCCUUGCUCUUUGGAAUUCCACAACGCUUUCGACGCUCUUUCCAUGAAUUUUCAAUAACAUAUAUCGUUUUUUCAUUUUGCGUCAAUAAGAGGAAUCAUAAUACAUAUGUAUAUAUGUAUAAGUUAUUAACAAGUUGGAGACUUUGAUCGCUAAUAAAAAAUGUUUUUUACUAAUUCUCUCAUGGAUAUCUAUGAAUACAAAAACUGAUAUAUUUAUUUAUUUCUCUAUUACGUGGAUUGCUAAGAAGGAAUGUGAAGGGGAAACAAAAAAGAAAAGAAAAAAAAAAAAAAAAAAGAAAAGAAAGAAAUGGAAGAGACAAUAGCGAAAUUAUUUUCUUUCGUAUUACCUCGAUUAAUGAUUCUUCAUCUAUUAAUCGUGGCUUAGAUCUGUAAGAUUAUCGGCCAAGUAAUGUUACCAAGAAAUGAAAUAUAAUGUACAGAUAGUUGUUGGUGUUCCUUAGGAGCACAUAGAUAGUAUUUAUACCGCACGUAAUAUAUGCGAAUUCAAUACAAUUCUCGAUACCCUGUUCAAAAUAAUAUUGAAUACACUGUUCGUAAUGUAUACAAAGAAACUCGUUUUACUGCGUACAAUUCUUAAACACACACGUCAUCUGACCAUCUGCUUUAUUCCAUGUACAUGGCUUAUAGAACCGAAGAAAUAUAAUAUUCGUAUAUACACGUAUUCACAAUAGUGAAAUAGAAAGUUCGAACUUUGUUUGAUAGUUACCAAGGCAACCGAUUCUGUUCGCACUUAUUAUCAAUUUUUUAUUGACGCUUAUAUAAUACAUGUUAUACCUUAAAAGAGCAAGAUAUAUAUCAGACAUAGGAAUACUCGAUAAAUUUUGUUUGCCUAACGUCGUAAUUCUGACCUUGAGAAGAAAAAACCGAAAGAUUCAUUUUGAUUAAAUCAUGAUGUGCCGAGUAUUGUCACCUUCUACGCCGCUAUACCUUAGAUUCUAUUCAUUUUGUAUGAAUGGCAAUAUAUGCCGUGGAAUUACUAAAUUUCCGGUAUUGUCGAAUGUGGAAAAUCAAAGAUGCAUAGAUAUAAAUAGCAAUGAAGUUAUAUCGGCACGUAUGGCUCAAUCUCACGCAGCGUCAGCCGUUAGCGAAACUUUAAAUCGUGAUGACACGCUACCUUUGAUGGAGUCAACGAGCGCGGAAGUGAUGUCGGAAACCUUUGAAUUAGCGAGUAAAUUCUUGCGACCUACUAUCGAAGAUAGGGCUCCAUUAUCCUUCGAUCAGAUACCAGGUCCCAUAAUAAUGAAGCUCUGGGAAAAAUAUUGGAAAUACGUGCCGAUUUUCGGUACGCAACUGUUUUCCAGUCUGCUAAUCAACAGAUUCAGCCAGGGACGUUUAAGUUGGAAUCGCAACAUUACGCCGGUUAAAUAUCUUUUUAAUAGAUACGGUUGUAUCGUAAGACUCAGUGGUCCAUUAUCCGGUGAUAUUGUCAUGAUUCAUAGACCAGAACAUAUAGGAGAAGUUUUUAAACAAGAAGGCGAUGCACCUAUUCGCAGUGGUAUCGACGUUCUCGAGCACUAUCGUCUUCACUAUCGAAAAUAUCGUCUCGCAGGUGCUUUUUCAAUGCAAUGCUCGGAAUGGUUAGAAUUGAAAGAAAAAGUACACAAAUCGUUCAACAAGAUAGACUCAAAGUUUCUCAGAAAACUUGAAAUAAUUUCCGAAGAUUUUAUUGGUCAAAUACGAAAAAUACGUAAUAGACAGGAUGAAGUUCCUAAUAAUUUUAAUGAAGAGAUUGCUCGCUGGGGCUCGGAAUGUUUCUUCACCCUUAUAUUCGAUAAGAAGCUUGGAUUUCUUGAUUCAACAGGGCAGAAUCCUACUUCGGAGCCAGCAAUAUUCAUUGAUGCGCUUGCGACCGCCCACAAAUAUUUAAGUCGUUGCGAAACUGGUUUUCAAGUAUGGAGAUUCUUUGAUACUCCCUUUUCCAAACGGCUUUUUUCCGCGUGCGAUGUUAUCGAUGGUAUUAUAAGUAAAUACAUUCGUCAAGCACAAAAUAUGUUUCGAACUCGAUCGCCGUUGUCUUGUUCCGAUGAAACCUCGCCCAUUCUAGAAAAGUUGUUAUUAGCUCAACGUCUUCAUCCCGACGAUGUUUCCACUUUAUUGAUGGACAUGGCAAUUUUGGGAGUUCAAGCAAUGACAAACUGCGAAGCGUUUCUUUUAUACUUCUUGGCGAAGAGUCCCAGAGUUCAAAAAAAAUUAUACGAAGAGAUCCUAUCUGUUAUUCCCAACGCGGAAUCUUCGAUAACCGAAACUAAUUUGCAAGACAUGCCGUAUUUAAAAGCUUGCUUGAAAGAAAGUCUAAGAUUGCGACCUGCUUUUCCCUACAUUACCAGACUAUUACCAAACUCGAUAUGUCUCCAUGGAUAUACAGUACCAAAAGGGUCAAAUAACGUCACAACGCGAAGAAAAUUUCGAAGAUCCGGAGAAAUUUCGACCGGAAAGAUGGUUAACGAAUCAAAUGGAUGAUGAUUUUCAAGAGUAUAGUUUUUUACCAUUUGGACAUGGCGCACGAUCUUGUCUGGGAAGACAUAUGGCGGAAAUAAAAAUGGCAUUGCUUACGGCAAAGUUGGUCCGGGAGUUCAAAAUCGAAUAUAAUUACGCCGAUAUUGGAACAAGUUUUUAUAUGAUGAAUGUACCUGAUAAACCUCUUCGUUUUCGAUUUAUCGAUAGAGAUUGAAAUAAUGAUUAUUACAUACUUAGAUAUGACAAAAUAAUUUUCUUAUAAAAAGUUUUUUCUACGAGUUAAGAUAUAUGAAUUAUACAGGAACUAACAGUAAGUAGACAUAUUAUAUUAUAUUAUAUCGAGUGUUGUAUUUAUAUUCGGAAACUUCUCUCAGUUAUAAGUGUGUUCAGUAAUUACUAUUACUAUUUAUUUUAAUAAAAGUAUGUUAUAUAUUAACUUUUAUCUUUUAACAUUCAAAUUUAUUUGAAAGAAAGUACUAUUUCGGAGAUAUCAAUUUCAUUAUACUUACUGCCGGAAACGAUAAUAUAGAACAGUAGUUUCAUAAAUAUUACAGAACGUUUACGGUGGAUAAUUUGAGCUAUCGUUCAAUUGUUGAAUAAUAAUAAUGCAAUCCAUCAUGAAUAGAAAAUACUGAAAAAUUUCAUUUUAAAUAAAUUAUUUAUUAAUAAUUGAUAUAAACCAAAACAAGAUUGUAACUUAAAAUGUGUUAAGGUUACUGACCUUGUAAACGAAGUGAUGGCCAAAGUCAAAUAGACCCACCCCGGAAAGCCUUAGUCAUUUUUGUGUAAUUUGUAGAAUAAAUUGGAAAAUCUAUAGAACAGAAAGUUUUAUGGACGAUUAUAAUGUCAUCGACAUUUCUCAUCUUCGUUUAUAUAAUUUCAUUCGAUAAAGCUAAUCUUACCUCUUCUUGUCUUUCUGGAUCGUACGUGAAAUCUCUUAAAAUAUGAAGCGCGUGUUCCGUACGUUUCACCUAAAUUACAUUGUAGUCACUUAUAUAUUUUAAAAAGUAUUUAUUACUUUGUAAACAAGUAAAAUACAUUUAUUUAUCAUUGUUAUUACCUUUGUGCAACAUUUUUCGAUUGUGUUAUUUAUAAAUAUCACGUUAAACAAUGAUAUAACCAUCGACAAUACUACAGGCGUAAAAUCAAACAUAUAGGAUAAUGUAAAUUUAAAAUAUAUAUGUUGUGCCUGUACAUAUCCCAAUAUAUAUAUAAAUUGAGUCACCAUUUCAAUAGUUAGUUCUAUUUCAAAUGUUUUGUGGAAUUCAUAACAUAUUUUUGAAAGUUCCAGGUGUACGUGCCUUUGGUAAUAUAUUUCCAAUAGAUUAAGUAGGGAUAUUUCGUAAGGUUAUAAAUAAACAAUAAUUAUUGUAUAUUUACAUUAUUGUUAAUAAACUUCGUUUAUACUGAGGAGUAUCAAUGA